rnacentral:rRNA from 1 species
AGCAGUAGCCACGGGAAUACGGAGGGAGCUAGCGUUGUUCGGAAUUACUGGGCGUAAAGCGCACGUAGGCGGUUAUUCAAGUCAGAGGUGAAAGCCCGGGGCUCAACCCCGGAACUGCCUUUGAAACUAGAAGACUAGAAUCUUGGAGAGGUCAGUGGAAUUCCGAGUGUAGAGGUGAAAUUCGUAGAUAUUCGGAAGAACACCAGUGGCGAAGGCGACUGACUGGACAAGUAUUGACGCUGAGGUGCGAAAGCGUGGGGAGCAAACAGGAUUAGAUACCCCUGUAGUCCCUGUCUCUUAUAC